rnacentral:lncRNA from 1 species
UUUCUUUUAGUCUCUUCUUCGUGGUGUUUUGGUGAUAUCUAUGUUUUUAGCAUAGAUAUUUACAGUAUUAUCUUGUGGGUGUCUUGUUUCCUUUAUUAUCUAGCGGUGUGAUAUCCCUCGUUGUUGUUUGCUUUUAUGUAUUUUGUUUGUUAUAUUGUUAUCUGUCCUGAGCCGAGAGUCAAUCGGAAAUAGCUUCUCUGCUUCAUCUGAGA